UACGUAGGGUGCAAGCGUUGUCCGGAAUCAUUGGGCGUAAAGCGCGCGUAGGUGGCUUCGUAAGUCCGUUGUGAAAGUCAAAGGCUCAACCUUUGAAUGCCGAUGGAUGCUGCGAAGCUAGAGUACGGAAGGGGCGAGUGGAAUUCCUGGUGUAGCGGUGGAAUGCGCAGAUAUCAGGAGGAACACCAAUAGCGAAGGCAGCUCGCUGGGACGUUACUGACACUAAGGCGCGAAAGCGUGGGGAGCGAACAGG
rnacentral:rRNA from 1 species